rnacentral:rRNA from 1 species
GACGAACGCUGGCGGCGUGCCUAAUACAUGCAAGUAGAACGCUGAAGGAGGAGCUUGCUCUUCUGGAUGAGUUGCGAACGGGUGAGUAACGCGUAGGUAACCUGCCUGGUAGCGGGGGAUAACUAUUGGAAACGAUAGCUAAUACCGCAUAAUAGUAGAUGUUGCAUGAUAUUUACUUAAAAGGUGCAAUUGCACCACUACCAGAUGGACCUGCGUUGUAUUAGCUAGUUGGUGGGGUAACGGCUCACCAAGGCGACGAUACAUAGCCGACCUGAGAGGGUGAUCGGCCACACUGGGACUGAGACACGGCCCAGACUCCUACGGGAGGCAGCAGUAGGGAAUCUUCGGCAAUGGACGAAAGUCUGGCCGAGCAACGCCGCGUGAGUGAAGAAGGUUUUCGGAUCGUAAAGCUCUGUUGUAAGAGAAGAACGAGUGUGAGAGUGGAAAGUUCACACUGUGACGGUAUCUUACCAGAAAGGGACGGCUAACUACGUG